GACGAACGCUGGCGGCGUGCCUAACACAUGCAAGUCGAGCGGGAGCAAGGCGGACGGUAACUGAAGCCUUGUUCUAGCGGCGGACGGGUGAGUAACGCGUGGGCAACCUGCCUUAAGGACUGGGAUAACAGCUCGAAAGGGCUGCUAAUACCGGAUGCGGUCACGGCCUCGCAUGGGGUUGUGAUCAAAGGGGAAACCCGCCUUAAGAUGGGCCCGCGUCCCAUCAGCUAGUUGGUGAGGUGAGAGCUCACCAAGGCGACGACGGGUAGCCGGCCUGAGAGGGUGAACGGCCACACUGGGACUGAGACACGGCCCAGACUCCUACGGGGGGCAGCAGUGGGGAAUCUUGCACAAUGGGCGAAAGCCUGAUGCAGCGACGCCGCGUGAGCGAAGAAGGCCUUCGGGUUGUAAAGCUCUGUCUGGAGGGACGAAACAAAUGACGGUACCUCCGGAGGAAGCCACGGCUAACUACGUG
rnacentral:rRNA from 1 species